rnacentral:rRNA from 1 species
GACGAACGCUGGCGGCGUGCUUAACACAUGCAAGUCGAACGGAAAGGCCUGCUUUCCCUUGUGGAUUGCGGGUACUCGCGUGGCGAACGGGUGAGUAACACGUGAGUGAUCUGCCCCCAACUUGGGUAUAAGCCUGGGAAACUGGGUCUAAUUCCCGAUAGGACUGCAGGGUGGUGCCGGUGGUGGAAAACGAUGUUCUAGUGGUUGGGGAUGAGCUCGCGGCCUAUCAGCUUGUUGGUGGGGUAAUGGCCUACCAAGGCGGCGACGGGUAGCCGGCCUGAGAGGGUGGACGGCCACAGUGGGACUGGGAUACGGCGCAGACUCCUACGGGAGGAAGCAGUGGGGAAUAUUGGACAAUGGGCGGAAGCCUGAUGCAGCGACGCCGCGUGGGGGAUGACGGCCUUCGGGUUGUAAACUCCUUUCGACCGAGAGGAAGCCACCUGGUUGGAAGGGUGGUGACGGUAGUGGUAGAAGAAGCACCGGCUAACUACGUG